rnacentral:tRNA from 1 species
CAUUAAGAAGCUACAAAGCAUUAACCUUUUAAGUUAAAGACUGGGAGCUUUAACCUCCCCUUAAUGA